CCUCCUUCAAUUUAUUAACAAACUCCAAACCUAGCUUUGUGCAAUAGCCAUAAUCCUUGAUCUAGAAAAAUUCAAAUCAAAUAACAGCCUCGGGAUCGAAAACGCAGCUAGAACCACGACCGGAAACCUUCUAACUUGAACGGAAUUUCAUGAUAGCUCUGGCAAUAUUUUGAGCUUCGCUCAUGGUUGUUCUUUAACAAACGUUGGGGCUGAUUUUUGGAGCUCUUGCUGGUAUUUACACAGCUGAAACAAAUUAUUUUCAACUUGUUUAAGGAUGGUUUUGAGGGUAGAUUUGGGAGGCGAACUGCUGCGUUUUUUUGCAACGACUUGGGACUGAUUUAAGGAAAUUUUCGGCUGGAAAAGAGGCAGCGUUUUGGACCUAUCUUGCAGCUGGUUUUACCCACUUUUUCUGUGCCGUUUUCACAGCUAUUUCAGCUGGGUUUCGGUGGGUUAUGGUUGUAUUUUUGCAGUGAAAAGAAGGCUGCUUUUCAGCUGGUUUUCCAGCAGCAAUGCAACCGUUUCAGAGUUGGUUUUUAGGCAUUUUUGCAGCUGAGCUUGCUGCAGAUUUUUGCUUGAGUUUUGGUGGCUAAAGGUGACCUUACAUGGCAAAAAUAGAGGAAAGAAUGGCCAGUUUUUUUUUACGAAGAGGGAGGCUAUGUUACUUUUUCAAUUUCUCCCCAUAUCUCCUCUUUCUGUAGCGUCCUUUUUUGUUUUUCAAAUGAGAAUAAUCGAUCCCUUUUUUCCAAAUCCAGAGAAGUAGUUG
rnacentral:lncRNA from 1 species